GUGUCAGCAGCCGCGGUAAUACGUAGGGGCCGAGCGUUGUCCGGAGUUACUGGGCGUAAAGCGUGCGCAGGCGGCGCGUUCUGCCCGGCGUGAAAGCCCCCGGCUCAACCGGGGAACGUCGUCGGGGACGGGCGCGCUUGAGGGCGGCAGGGGCUGGUGGAAUUCCCGGUGUAGUGGUGAAAUGCGUAGAGAUCGGGAGGAACACCUGUGGCGAAGGCGGCCAGCUGGGCCGACCCUGACGCUGAGGCACGAAGGCGUGGGGAGCGAACGGGAUUAGAAACCCUAGUAGUCC
rnacentral:rRNA from 1 species